rnacentral:lncRNA from 1 species
AAUUUUUUAAAAUCAUGUAACAUGGUUUUAUAACAAGGAAGACACAAAUCUUUCAUUUUUAAAGCAAAAAAACCUGAUUGUUGAAAUGUUUUCUACCUAAAGCUUCAACAAUCACCUAUGUAGUUAAGAACUACAGUGUUUGAAACUUUAUUCAUGUUUCUUGGCUCUAAUAUUGAUAUUUGUUAUUCUGAACAUUCAGAUUCCCAGCCGAAAUUAUCACAGCAGCUUUAUUUGAAACAACUCAUAUUAUCCAUAUUUUCAGAUUACAUAAUUAAAAGUUAAAGAAGUUUAGUAAUUUCUGUAAGUUUACAUAUCUAAUAAAUGGUGGAGAACAAGGUCACAAUCUGGCUGUCUGAUUCAAAAACCCCUACUCUACUUGUACUGGGAUUCCUGAUUCCAUUGGAGACAGUGGGCUCCCUAGAAUUCUGUUAUUUUAUAAGAUUCAAUAUUGAGAGACACCCAGACCUCCCACAUACACCUGAGGCACACCACGAUCUUUCUUAAAGUAUUGUUGCUUAUGGCUUGAAUGUCUUAGAGUGUGGAAGUGAAAUAAUAGUGAGGAGAUUUCAUGGUUUUGAAAAAUGUGGGGAUGAUGAUUUGUUUAAGGAUUAUAGAGUUUAAUUUUGAAAAGGGUAGAGUGGGUAUAAUCCCACUGGAGAAGGUAUUAUUUAUGUAUGUGGAAUUUUUUUUUUUCAAUUAAAGGAAGAAACUAAUAGAGACUACAGCUUCCCAGCUGGCCUAGAAGACCAUAUUUUGGGGGAGAAUAUAUCGCCUAACACAAGUAUCUCAGGGUUGGUCCCCAGUGAACUUACCCAGAGCAACACAAGUCUUGGCAGUAGCAGCAGUAGUGGAGAUGUAGGAAAACUGCAUUAUCCAACAGGUGAAGUUCCAUUUCCAAGAGGCAUGAAAGGGCAAGACUUUGAAAAAUCAGAUCAUGGUUCUUCUCAAAAUACCAGCAUGUCUAGCAUCUAUCAGAAUUGUGCAAUGGAGGUAAAAGUUCUAUAUUCAGUUCAUGAUAAAGUAGCUGUAAGCAUAUUUUUAUUUCAGAAUGGCAUUUAACAGGAUUCUAAGAUACCCUUGUGGACAGUAUAAUAAAAUAAGUCAUUUUGUUGAAUUUGCUUGAUGUCUUAUGUAAGUAAGACAUUGAACUGGUAGUUUACCUGUGAAAUAAAAGAACUGUUAUUAAUAAUUCCAAAUUUGAUCAGUAGAAU